GGGGAGCGCGGCUAUCUGCAGUCGACGCUUUUUUCAAUCAUCGUAGCUUGCUACACCGAUUGAAAAUUGAGUGGCGAACGGGUGAGUAACACGUGGGUAACCUGCCCAAAAGAGGGGGAUAACACUUGGAAACAGGUGCUAAUACCGCAUAACCAUGAUGACCGCAUGGUCAUUAUGUAAAAGAUGGUUUCGGCUAUCACUUUUGGAUGGACCCGCGGCGUAUUAACUUGUUGGUGGGGUAACGGCCUACCAAGGUAAUGAUACGUAGCCGAACUGAGAGGUUGAUCGGCCACAUUGGGACUGAGACACGGCCCAAACUCCUACGGGAGGCAGCAGUAGGGAAUCUUCCACAAUGGGCGCAAGCCUGAUGGAGCAACGCCGCGUGAGUGAAGAAGGUCUUCGGAUCGUAAAACUCUGUUGUUAGAGAAGAACAUGCAAGAGAGUAACUGUUCUUGUAUUGACGGUAUCUAACCAGAAAGCCACGGCUAACUACGUGCCAGCAGCCGCGGUAAUACGUAGGUGGCAAGCGUUGUCCGGAUUUAUUGGGCGUAAAGGGAACGCAGGCGGUCCUUUAAGUCUGAUGUGAAAGCCUUCGGCUUAACCGAAGAAUUGCAUUGGAAACUGGAGGACUUGAGUGCAGAAGAGGAGAGUGGAACUCCAUGUGUAGCGGUGAAAUGCGUAGAUAUAUGGAAGAACACCAGUGGCGAAAGCGGCUCUCUGGUCUGUAACUGACGCUGAGGUUCGAAAGUGUGGGUAGCAAACAGGAUUAGAUACCUCGGGUAGUCCAAAA
rnacentral:rRNA from 2 species